UACAGAGGUCCCAAGCGUUGUUCGGAAUUACUGGGCGUAAAGCGCGUGUAGGCGGUUGUUCAAGUCAGGUGUGAAAGCCUUGAGCUCAACUCAAGAAAUGCACUUGAUACUGGAUGACUAGAGGACCGGAGAGGAUAGUGGAAUUCCCAGUGUAGUGGUGAAAUACGUAGAGAUUGGGAAGAACACCAGUGGCGAAGGCGGCUAUCUGGACGGUUUCUGACGCUAAGACGCGAAAGCGUGGGGAGCAAACAGG
rnacentral:rRNA from 1 species